rnacentral:lncRNA from 1 species
AAUUAAGUUCAAGUUUGUUUAAGUCUUGUUUAGCAAAAUUCAGAUUAUAUCAGAGAAGCGGUGGGGGGGAGUUUAAUUUUACUAAGACACGCCAAGACUCUGGGUAUGGCUGAGAGCCAACACAUUUCUCCUGUGGCAUGUUUUAUCUUGCAUUCUUCUCACUAGUUUAAAUUAUGACCUAACUGGGCCAAAAUUGUCCAGUGAACAAAGACUUCUCAACUAAGAGAAAAUACUAAGUUUGGAAAGUUUCGUUCUCGUUCAAUAAAGAAGCUUUAAAAACAAAGUGAUCACUGGUUAAAACAUAGUAUCUUUGAGUUUCCACUAAGAUCAAUCUUGUGGCCGCUAUUUGUAUUCAAUCAACAGAGUUGACAUUGACAG